GAAUUAUCGUCUACCAAGGAAGUGGUGAUGAAGGUGGUAUACAAAGUUGCAUUCAAGAUGCACUUUUAUUUCAUCAAGAAAAUAUUUGUAAUGUGACAGUUAAGGAGUCUGAUACCUCUCAUGAAGAUAAACACAAAUGCUCCCCACAAGCUUGGUAGACUAAUGGAACCCAGCAUACAGCUGAGGGGAUGUUGGAUGUUAUAUCUAAUGGAUCUUGUAAGGAAUCAAAUACUGAAACAACUACUGAGAUGUGUCACCGUGUUUUCUUUGAUGUUUUAAUUUCUGAAAAGUUCACGUAUCUGUAUAAGCUUCUAAUUGACAAUUUCCAAGGGAUUAAGCUUGACAGCCUUUUGCACUUAAGCCUAAUAAACUCAAGGAUGAAAGGUGGAGUUUAUGAGGGUUCACCUAUGCUUUUCGCAUCAGAUAUUCAGCAGGUGUGGAGAAAACUUCAACAAGUAGGCACUGAUAUUUUAUCCCUUGCAAAGGGCCUUUCAAAUAUAUCAAGCAG